GCCGGGGUGGCGGAACUGGUAGACGCGCCGGAUUCAAAAUCCGGUUUCUUUACGGAAGUGGGGGUUCGAUUCCCCCCCUCGGCACCA
rnacentral:tRNA from 1 species